rnacentral:rRNA from 1 species
GAUGAACGCUGGCGGCGUGCUUAACACAUGCAAGUCGAACGGACUUUUGAUGAAACCUAGUGAUUUAAAAGUUAGUGGCGGACGGGUGAGUAACGCGUGGGUAACCUGCCAUAUACAGGGGGAUAACACUUAGAAAUAGGUGCUAAUACCGCAUAAGCGCACAGUUUUGCAUGAAACAGUGUGAAAAACUCCGGUGGUAUAUGAUGGACCCGCGUCUGAUUAGCUAGUUGGUAAGGUAACGGCUUACCAAGGCGACGAUCAGUAGCCGGCCUGAGAGGGUGAACGGCCACAUUGGGACUGAGACACGGCCCAAACUCCUACGGGAGGCAGCAGUGGGGAAUAUUGCACAAUGGGGGAAACCCUGAUGCAGCGACGCCGCGUGAGUGAAGAAGUAUUUCGGUACGUAAAGCUCUAUCAGCAGGGAAGAAAAUGACGGUACCUGACUAAGAAGCCCCGGCUAACUACGUGCCAGCAGCCGCGGU